CAUGUCUGGUAAACUAAUACUGUGUAGACAAUGCUGCCAAUUUCAGCUACCAACACAAAAUGCAGCUUUCCCUACAAUCAGCAGUCUUCCUUGGACCACAGCUGCAGCAAGAAGCCUCUUCAUACCUUUCAUAAUGAACUUGAGGAAACACAUCUAUGGGCUGUGUCUGCCAUUGAAGACCCGUUCAUCAGCUCUGUGCUUUCAAACAAGUUUGUAUUUGUAUUUGUUGGAAGAUAGAAUCUUACCUCAGGGAGAUGUGGCCAUUAUUCUUUCACAGAAGACUCCUAUAAGCUCAAUAAGCAUUUCUUUCUAGGUUGGUUUUUAUAUGAGAUCUCUCAAGAUGGGUUUAUAGAAUCCAACAUCUAAGAACUCUGUUGACAAUGUCCAAUUGAGCUUAUUACAAAACCAACAGAGGAUAUUGAUUGAUGCAUUGGAUUUAAGAAGGCAAAAUUAAAAUACAAGAGUAUACUUCAAAACUCUGCCUGGCAAGAAAUGCUGAAGUACAGUGAUUGUUUACUCAGUUCUGGAAAAUACUUCUUGGAACUUCCUCUCCUAAGAGUAUGAACCUAGGACUCUGCUACUGAAAACCCUCCAGCACUCUGUCUGAUUCUACGACAGUAAGAGUUAUUCUGUGUUGAUCAUUGAAUUUCUACUACCUUUCUGUGUUGGGCUGAAUGGCUGUUCAGUUUGGCUCAACGAUAUGAAACUCGACUCCUGGAGGAAAGAGUGAAUCCCCUCGGCUGUGCUUUGGUCUUCCCAGCUGACUUGAGUCAUCCCACUCAGUGACCUCAUCUCCUUUCAUAUCUGAAUGUUCCAGCUAUGCCCACAGCACCAGGAACAUCUGAAGAAGAAAAUUUCC
rnacentral:lncRNA from 1 species